GUUUAGACCGUCGUGAGACAGGUUAGUUUUACCCUACUGACGACCAUAGAAGAGGUGUUGUUGCGAUAGUAAUCCUGCGAAGUACGAGAGGAACCGCAGGUUCGGACAGUUGGUUGGCGCACUUGGUCGAGCGGCCAGUGGUGCGAGGCUACGUCCGGAUGAUUAUACCUGAAGGCCUCUGAAGGUAGAAUCGAUGCUGGAGGAAGGCAAUGAUACGCCGCGUCUCUGACUCAAUUUAAACUCAUCUGGGUGGCUAUAACGAGACCCGUCUCGGUUAGAGAUUAAAACUCGCUCCAUCGGCGAGGGGUUCCGGCCUUUCGUCUGUUUCGGACGAAUGCCUGGUCGGCGCUAUUCAUUCUCGAGCCGCGGUCGGAGGUUCGCUGCCGGCGUUUGCGGGGUGGUCGGUUAAAGACGUGCCCGCCGCUCCAGCCCUCCUCAACCCGAACAAAG
rnacentral:rRNA from 1 species